rnacentral:rRNA from 1 species
AAUCAACGCUGGCGGCGUGCCUCAGACAUGCAAGUCGAACGAUUAAAGCUCUCUUCGGAGAGUGUAUAGAGUGGCGCACGGGUGAGUAACACGUAAGUAAUCUACCUUUGAGUGGGGAAUAACAGUCGGAAACGGCUGCUAAUACCGCAUAACGCAGCGGCACCGCAAGGUGACAGUUGUUAAAGGAGCAAUCCGCUUAAAGGGGAGCUUGCGGCAGAUUAGCUUGUUGGUAAGGUAACGGCUUACCAAGGCUACGAUCUGUAUCCGGUCUAAGAGGACGGUCGGACACACUGACACUGAAUAACGGGUCAGACUCCUACGGGAGCAGCAGUCGGGAAUUUUGGCAAUGGGCGAAAGCCUGACCCAGCAACGCCGCGUGAAGGAUGAAGUAUUUCGGUAUGUAAACUUCGAAAGAAUA